AACUUCUGUAACCACAGUAAAAAGCAGUGGCUCAUAUUCAUCAAAACAAGCAAAGAAGAGAGAGAUCGUCUUCGCUGCCCCACCAGGGGGCACAAGCCCUCCCGGACCCCCCAUGGAUCCCAAUGGAGUGAUUCUCCAUAUCUACCAAGAAAUCUUCCCUUUUGUAAUGAUAGGCUAGAUUAAGUUAUGUAUUAGAUUUGGUGUAGGCAUGUUUGGGUGCCCGGUGGAGACCCAAUAAUGCUCUCCUUAGUAAAUAAAUAGUGACCAGUUGAAGUUAAAUAAUCACUCCGUAAUGUUUGUAACACAUUUUACAUAUAGCUACCACUUGCAGCGGCUAUGAAACGAGCACUAAAAUAAACAAUUCCAUCUCAUAGAAAAAAGCCUCCUGAGCACGAUGGUGGAUUUUUCAUAAAACGCCAAAUAAGUGAAGCACGGAACUAUUUAUAAAAACAUUUCACAUCAUCCCCUCGGGGGUGGUGCGAGGGUAAACUGGUUUGCAGCAGUGUGCGGGCCUCGUUGCCAUGACAACCCUCGCCUCGCCUUGCUUUUCGUGUGGCCACAGAAACUCAUCUUGCUGCUUUUGCUCUCGCUAGCUUUCUCGCUCCCUGUACAUGUGGCUGCGGCCUCAUCAGCCAGUGGCAUUGUAGAGUUUUGCUAUAGUUUCCCAAGCCUCCUUUUUCUUUUUUAUCAUUGCAUGAACCGUUCUUCUGUCAAGUACUACUGCUCGGUGUCUCUACAAGCUCCAGAAGUAGAGCAACUUCAUUUUGGGAUGAAUAUCGCUUAGUUUCCUCCAUUGCUGACUUGAACACAGCACGCAGAGUAUCAGGUGCAGUCGGUGUUUUGACCGUCAGAACGUUGAGAUGGACCAAAUAACAAGGGACAUUGUUACCAAUUAAAUUUUCUUUCGCCGCCAGUGUUACCAAAUCCCACCCGACAAAUCCGAGUGUUUAAGGAUAUGCAAAUUGUGACAACCCGAACAUUAGUGUGCGUGGGGACUGGCGUCGUUGCUGAUUUCGUGAGAUUUAAGAAUACGGCCGUUAGUGCUGCAGUGGCACUCAAAUUAAGCCACAAACCUCUCUGCAAGCAUAAACAAGGUGGCGAUCGCAUCUGUACCAACAACGGCAAUAAAAUAUUUCAACAAAAAAUACCAAUUACCGUUGAUGAGGUUUGGGGCCCCGUUCCACUGUCAGUGCAGCGCUCCGCAGGGCCGUCAGCAGUAACAAUGUUAGCCUCAAUAAUAAUCCUUGAUAUGCACUUAUUCACAACGUCGUAGUGAGUGAAUGAGUCUUAAUUGCUUCCAAGGAUAGCCUACAGAUGUCCUUUUAAUAAACAUGGCAUCAUUAUAGUCACUUGGCCAUGUUUUGGUUCGUGCUAAUCACAAUAUCUUUCCUAUUUAAUAGUAUCACAAAUAUCCAUUGUUUCAUUUUCCAUUAAUCUGAUAUUUUCUUUAUGUUAUCACAAUUCAGUGUCCAACGAUUAUUUUCCUGAACGUGCCUGUACAUUUGCAGGAGAGGCUUACAUAACUGAAUCUUAUAGAUCUUGGCCUCCUCUUUCCAACGGUGCCUUUGUUUUGUAGCUGUGAUGAAUAGUUUUUGAGAUAGAGCGGUUAAAAGAGAUCCCCCUCCCACGCUGGACUGCCCGAGCGCACCUUGGGGGAUAGUCUCGUUACGAGCACUUAGCAAGGAAAGGGUUAAAAGGGAUGGUGCUGCAAAGAAGAAAACAGGAACAGCGGAUACUAUGCCGGCAACAGGAAUGGGGUGUGAGCCUCGGCGGCUUGUAUGCUCUCCUGGACGUGACUGACUCACUUUCACCCUCCAUCUUGGGCGAUACAUCGGGUGUGUGUUGAUGCUGGGACCAAGAAGAAGAAGAGGAGAAAGAGGAGGAGAAGGAAGAUGAUGAUGAUAAAGGCAACAGGAAGAUCAGAAGAAGAAGAGGAGGAGGAAGAAUGGAAGAAGAACACACACACACGACAAACACCUUUUUAUAUAUUUUUCAUUUUUAUUAGUCCAUACAACAUACAUUAGCUAUAUACAUAUUAUACAACAUAUGCAUAACUAUAUACAUUAGAGCAUAGAGUGAGUGAGAGACUUGAGAGGUGAGAUAGAGAGUGGUGCCCCCCCCCCCCCCCCCCUUCUCUCUCUCUCACCUCACCACAGCUCACAGGACCCCACAGAUGUACCCCCCACAGACACGGUAUGUGUCUGUGGGGGGUACAUCUCAUGAAGGACCCCCUCCUCCCUCCCUCCCCCCCUUGCCAACAUAGCACCCACAUCAGUGUUACUAUGUAUAUGUGUUUUUCUAUUAAUAAAAAGUUAAUUUGUAAUGUUUGUGUGUUAUAUUCCUAUGAGAGAGAGGAAAAGGUAAAGAGGGAGAGAGAGAGAACGAAAUGAGAAGCAAAAGAGAGAGGAGGUAAGGGAAGGAGAGGGAUGAGGAAAGGAAAAGAAAGAACAGAAGAAAUGUACUGAUAAAAGAGAGAAAGGUAUCAGAAGGGAGGGAGAGAGAGAGAGAGAGAGAGAGAGAGGCAAGGUAAGGUAAUAAUAUUGAAUAGUAAUAGUGACUCAACUAACCUACUAACUAUGGGAUGACAGAAAGAGAUGACCAGAGAGAGAGAGAGAGAGAGAGAG